rnacentral:miRNA from 1 species
AACUGGUUAUAAUGGCAAUGACUAUGGUGAAAUAGUAAUAAUAAUACUGAAGUAUUAUUAUUACUAUUUCACCAUAGUCAUUGCCAUUAAUG